GCGCCCGGACCGCGGGGGGAGCAGGGGCGCGGGGGACCUGCCGCCGCUGCCGGCUCUUUGUCUGCUCGGGCAACUUGAACAAAAGGAGAAACUCGGAUGAACUCUCCAUCUCUUCCUCGCCUCUCCCGGGUUAACUCAUCUUCGGCAACUUUAUCGGAAGAGAUUUGCUCAACUUUCUUCGAGCUCUCCUGCCACUUAAAAGCAAAGAGCCCCGCCGUAGACUUCUAAGGAAAUCUGGUUUCACAGUUUAGAGAAAGGAGAAGGUCACAACAUGAUUGUUGGGAAAAUGGGAUGGCUGCCAGAACAUCAGUCUGUGAUGGGUGCCAUAUUGCAUUACUCUUCGAAUGGUGGAAUAGAGCUUGGGAUUCCUCUGGGCUGCUUGACAUGAUUCAAAUUGGAUCAUACAGAUGCCGAACAUCUUAGUUGUUUGGAUUCAUAGUAAUGGUUAAUGGUCUCCCAGGGGAAGUGGAAAAGCCCCAUGCUGAAACUUGUGGAUAUUGUCGAACAUGCUGCUGAGACCUAUUUGGAUUAUAUUGCCAUGUGACACCAAGGUUCUGCAGCUGAUGAGAGGAGCUCACCAGAUCUUUUUAUGUGGUUGCUGAAGCAUUGCCCUGGGACAGCAGUAAUGAGGAUGGAUGAACAGAACACAC